rnacentral:rRNA from 1 species
UACGUAGGGCGCAAGCGUUGUCCGGAAUUAUUGGGCGUAAAGAGCUACGUAGGCGGUUUGCGCGUCUGCUGUGAAAACUCGAGGCUCAACCUCGGGCUUGCAGUGGAUACGGGCAGACUAGAGGUAGGUAGGGGAGAAUGGAAUUCCCGGUGUAGCGGUGAAAUGCGCAGAUAUCGGGAGAACACCGGUGGCGAAGGCGGUUCAGCUGGGCCUUACC